rnacentral:rRNA from 1 species
GAUUAGAGUUUGAUCAUGGCUCAGAUUGAACGCUGGCGGCAUGCCUUACACAUGCAAGUCGAACGGCAGCGCGGGAGCAAUCCUGGCGGCGAGUGGCGAACGGGUGAGUAAUAUAUCGGAACGUGCCCAGUAGUGGGGGAUAGCCCGGUGAAAGCCGGAUUAAUACCGCAUACGACCUGAGGGUGAAAGCGGGGGAUCGCAAGACCUCGCGCUACUGGAGCGGCCGAUAUCAGAUUAGCUAGUUGGUGGGGUAAAGGCCUACCAAGGCAACGAUCUGUAGUUGGUCUGAGAGGACGACCAGCCACACUGGGACUGAGACACGGCCCAGACUCCUACGGGAGGCAGCAGUGGGGAAUUUUGGACAAUGGGCGCAAGCCUGAUCCAGCAAUGCCGCGUGCAGGAAGAAGGCCUUCGGGUUGUAAACUGCUUUUGUCAGGGAAGAAAUCUUCUGGGCUAAUACCCCGGGAGGAUGACGGUACCUGAAGAAUAAGCACCGGCUAACUACGUGCCAGCAGCCGCGGUAAUAAU